AUCAAGACUGAAUGCUCCACUUGGGCAUUGUCUUCAACAAGGAGCUCCCCAGCAAGGGUGCCAUGGCCGCCGGAGCUAGGAUCGCCCGCGACGCCGGAGGUGACGGGGAGGUCCUCGCCAUGAGCGCCGACAGUAGCUUGGAGGACGCGGGGUUUGCCAUCUAUGAAGGCGGCGCCACCGGCACCGGCGUCGUGGGAGCUGCGCGUGGCUGGCGUCUGCAUGUAUCACUUGAAGCUCCAGCACUUGGAUAGCCUUCACGGCUGGCAUUCAUCCCAACUCAGCUUACACGACUUCCUCAUCCAGUUUUGCAUUUUUUUAGAGAGAAAAGUGAGGUUCAAAGGUGGGUAUGGAGACGUGGGGAGAAUGAGAGUGAUGGGCUCAUUGAAGGCGAUUGCAUGCAUGAGACUAAAAAAUAGGUUUUCAUGAGAAUGGUUUGGCUAGAUGGAUAGUGAGAAUGGCGGGUUCUAUUGGGUUUAGAAAGAAUGAAGUAAAUAAGGGUGAUGGUGAAGGAAGCUACUAGCAGUGGGCACGAAGAGAGAAAUGGGUUUGAAUGGUUGAAUAAAUAUGCAGCAAAUGGGUUAGAUGGAAGCUAGGAUGAGUGCGCAUACAUGGUCCUUAUGCGCGCGGGUGGGUGAGUUUCAAAAAUGAAAUCAAAACAUGAAUGAUAAUAAUCUCAUAUGAAAGCAUCGAAAUAGGGGCCAAAAUCGAUGGGGAAACACACAUAGAAUGGAUAUGAACAAGCUCAGAUUCUAUAAAAAUAAACGGAAAACCCCAGCAAACACUAUCAAACGCCCAUAUAGGAUCACAUAUAUAUUCAGAUAAUGCUAUGAAGAGGAGUGAACGUAAUCAAAAGAAGGAUACCUGAACCUCUGCCCUUCAAGGUGCUUU
rnacentral:lncRNA from 1 species